rnacentral:rRNA from 1 species
UACGGAGGGUGCAAGCGUUAUCCGGAUUCACUGGGUUUAAAGGGUGCGUAGGCGGGUAAGUAAGUCCGUGGUGAAAUCUCUGAGCUUAACUCAGAAACUGCCGUGGAUACUAUUUGCCUUGAAUAUUGUGGAGGUGAGCGGAAUAUGUCAUGUAGCGGUGAAAUGCUUAGAUAUGACAUAGAACACCAAUUGCGAAGGCAGCUCACUACACAAUCAUUGACUCUGAGGCACGAAAGCGUGGGGAUCAAACAGG